rnacentral:lncRNA from 1 species
CUCUUCAUGUCCGGGGAACAUUCUCGGAUCACCGUAGGAUUUGUCUUCAAAUGAGUAAUAGGAGAAACCCAUGAGUGGCCGGGGGAUAUUUGUUCGGAGGGACGAGUAGAGACUGCUGUGGACAACGGAUCUAUUGGGGUCGAGGUGAAGAACAUCGCCGGCCUCGACUUGGGGUUCGUAAAGCCAGGUUCCACCGAGACGGUUUGAUUUUUCAAAGACGGUGACUCGGUGGUUCUCUCGGAGAAGCUCCCGGGCGGUGAGUAGGCCGGAGGUGCCGGCUCCGAUGACAGCGAUAUUCAGAGAAUCCGUCAUGGUGAUGGGGCGGCGUAAGUUAAGUGGGAUUGGGUAGUGAAGGAGUAUGUUUUUUGGUUAAGUCGAUUUGGUUUUUGGGAUUUGUCUAAAUUUGACAAAAUAAAUAUUAUAUAAAUCAAAUUGUAUCAGAAUUUUGUUGCGAGGAUUAUAUAAUAUAGUAAAUGUAAACCCUUGUGAACAGUUUUCACUGCAAUUGGUGGAAUUUUUUUAAUGGUUUCUGUACAAAACUGGCGACGAUGAGGUCUACAAAUUAAAUGUGUAGGACAAGGUUUGGUUUUCAACGACACCCACCUCCACCAUCGCCCUCCGCCUACGUCCGCCUUGGUAAGUUCCACUUCUGAUUAUCUGAAAUGGAAUUAAACUUGAAAUUGUCUACGAAAUCUGUAGGACCAGGUUUGGUUUUUUGAUUUUCUAAGUUAUUUUAAAUCAAUUUCACCAUGGAAUUGCCUUUCAAAUCUUUAUGAACAUGAAGUUGACUUCAAAUCGAGUUUUGCUUCAUUACAGGUUAUCUUCAUUUUGAUAUAUCAUAGCACUCCAGCUCUGUCAAAGAAGCGACACCUUCUUGGCAAUCGAUCCUCUAUCUCAUUUGAACAGAACAUUAAACUUCCAUGUGAAAUUCUACUGGUUUCUUUUUCUUUUUUGUUCUGAAGGAGAAAGAGGUUAUCAGAGCUGCAGCAAACAGUGAAAGUUGCAAACUUUAACAUGCCUAUACUUUGUUUCAUCAAAUCCUUUCUUAAUCUAUCAUAGGCCCUUAUGUUGAAGAACACCCUGCUGAUGAUUUAAUUCAAGCAACUGAAGGAUUUUUUGGGUAGGUUUCUAUGCAUUUGAUAUGAUAUUAAAUUAUUGAUGUUGUAGAAUGACAGUAAUCUAUUCUAUUACUAUAAUAAAUGAAUGUUUUUUUUGCUAUAUGUCCUCUUUUCCUUCAUUUGGACACAUGCAUUUUCUAGAAUUUUUAAUUUUUUUAUUUUCCACUUGUAAUUUUAUUGUAUUUUUCAUUUUAUUAAAUUAAAAUUCCACAUUUAAUGUGUAAGGUAAUAUAUAUGUAAAGUAUUUAUUAGAAAAAGAUUAUAUAUGUAAUGUAUUCAAUACAUUAAAGUCUCAUUAAUUUUAAUAAUUCAAAUUUUUCUUAUUUUUCUUAUAAAUUCAAAUUUUUCAAAUUGUUAAAAUUUUAUAUUUAUUUUUUUUAAUUAAACCCAUGUAAUACAUGGGCCUCACACCUAGUCUAUGAAUAAUUAAUAAACAAAUGAAUAAAAAUAGGUUGCUAUUUUUGGCAGGUGCUUCCUUUAGCACGUGAGUGUUCGCAGCUGCUUCUUUGUGCUAAACUAAUGUUGUUUUAUUUUGAAGGUGAGUAUACAAUGGUUCAUAAUUUUUUACAAUAGUUUAUUAUUUUUUAUAAUCUACCAAGCAAUUUGAUUAUAUAUUCAUUGUAGGUUUAUAUUAUCAUAUAUUAAAGCAUGCAGCAAACAAUUCUAUGAAUCAAAGACUGAGGUAUAUCUGAACAUUCUCUAAAAUAAAUUAAAAACAUCAAGUACUAAUAUUCAGGGAUUCUAUAAUAUGCACAUAUGAGAUACUUUGCAUGUUUCUAUUGGUUAUAUAUAUGAUUAUGUUAUUUAAUCUUUUAAUUAUAUGUCCAAGUUAAAAACAACGUUUAAUGUUGGAUGGCUUAUAUUUUGUUCUGUUAGAUGGGCAUAAGUGAAAAUUGUUUUCUUUUUAAUAAAACUCAUUUCAAAGUUUCUAAACAUUUAACUGUUUAUAUUGGUUUGGUAUAAUAAUAGUGUUUAUUAUCUAACAUAUUAUACUACUACAAUUCAUAUCAUAUUCUAUAAAAAAGAUUAUACUAAUUACAUAAAAAAAAACUAAAUGGCAUUUACAGGUUAGAUUGCUUUUUUUUGAAAUAUACCAAAUAAUUGUAAACAAAUAAAUAAAAGGAAAAAUAUACUUAUACGGUAACAAUGGAUAAGAAAUAACUAGACAAAAUUGCAAAAUUGGUCCCUGUGGUAUGCAUUUUUUUGGAGUUUUAGUCCAAACUUCGAUUUUUUUGGCUUUGUAGUCCUUUUGAGCUAGUUUUGUUGUGUUUUUUGUCAUUUUGAAUAGUGAAAUGACUGUAAUACCCUUGGGGUAUUUAUUUUUCAUUUUUCUUUCAUUUCUUCUCAAAUUUAAUACUAAUUUAUUUAAUUUAGUAAUUAAAAAAAAUAAGAAGGGCCCACCUUCUCUCUCUCUCUCUCUCUCUCUCUCUCUCUCUCUCUCUAAAAAGAACACAUACAGUUGAAAUUGGUUUUGUAACUCAAGAACUUAAGACUAAAAGCAUCAGAUGCACACCUAUAUUUUGUUUUUGAAAUCGAUUUUGUAUUUCAUUUAUGAAACCGAUUUUGGGUUUCUGGAACUUGAUUUCAAAAAUUAAAACACACACGCACAAACAAAUUAGUUUUGGGGGAUGAACUCGUAUGCACAAAUCGAUUUCCAGAAUCGAUUUUUGUUUCAAAAAUGAUUUGAAGAUUCCACCUGUUACUUGUGAUUUCAUCGCCCUUGACCCAAUCACCACCGUCAGCUGCACUCUAUGAUUCCCCCCCCCCAUUGUUGUUGGCAAUCCGUAGCCACCACUGAACGCCUUCGUUCUCCAUUUCCACUGGCAUGUAAUAGAUCUGCAGCAUCAAGAGGAGCAACUAUAGCGACCUUGUCACUGGAAAGCAUCUGCAUCACCAGGUGGGGGAACACAAAGAUGGAGGGACGAUCAACAAGACAACACCCAUCUACAUCGUUUUUCCCUCACGAUUCAGGUAUCAGAACACUACUCAAAUAUAUGUUUUUAUGAAGAUGAUGAAAGAUCAUAUAUAUAUAUAUAUANAUAUAUAUAUAUAUAUAUAUAUGUUUGAGGCUUUUCCCAAUUGAUUUUUUUUCCUCACUUGAAAUUGUAAUCAACCCCAAAAUUAAAUUAGAAUCGAUAAAUGUAGCCACCGUUAACUUUGAAGCUUCUGAUAAUAUCCCAGUUGGUAUCCUUAUUUCUUGAAUCUCAUAACUAUCGACUCCAACUCACCAUUUUCGAUCUUGAUUACGAACUAUAAAAUCAGCGACCAAUUUUGAACAGUUUCGCAUCAUAACGGAGGAAUUAGGGUUGUUAUGUUCAAAAAAUAUAACAAAUCAGGGGGUAAGGUGGAGAUCGAAAGAAGAGGGAAGGUUCGUCUGUUUGUGGGCGAUGAAGAGAUAGCUCGGGAUCAAUGGCGAGUAUAGAAUAGAAAUCCAAGUGGUUCACCAACUAGGGUCGGUUCAAGAAAAAAAUCGAGUUUACCUAGAAAAAUAACCAAUUCAACAUGUAUAAAAACUAAUGGCGAGAGAACCGAGCCCAAACCGAUCAACCUUAAUUAUUUUUACUAAAAUCAACUUAAAUUUAAAAUAAAACCGAUUUGUUAAUUAUUAUUCACACAUUGAAUAGUCACUAAUAAAAAACGUGUGAGUAAAGGUUUUUCUUUAAAGAAAAAAUGAUAUGGACAUCUAUUUAAAAGUAAAUAAAAAUAAAAAAGAAAUUAACAAAAUGGAUUUAAAUUCACGAUCAAAUUGGAAAUGAUUUAUCCGCAAGUUCCCCAAAGCAGCAAAAAUCAAUAACAUAUAUGUUUAUUUUUAUUAUAACUCUAAAUAUAAAGUAAAAUAUAAUAAUAUGCUAAUGUAAUAAAAGAGAGUCCAUUAUCCUUAAUGGAAUUGGGAGCUAAAGUAGCAAAAAAACCUAUUAUUCCUAAAUAAUUUGAAUUGUUGUUCCAUUGCCUCGCCCUCUGUUUCAACAAUUGAGUUUUUUUUCUUUUUUUUUUACCAACCCAAAAUCUCUCUUUCUCUUUUUUUUUUCUUUUUCUUUAUAAGGUAGGUCUUUAGAAAACCUUUAGGUAGUUCCUCAAUAUCUUGGUAUAGUACUGUUACCAAAUUUUGACCCAUCAGAUGUAUUGUGUAACCGCACCUGAUUUAUAUGUAAAUUUUCAACACAAUAUCACUGAUGACGAAAUAGUUGUUGGUUAACAGGCUGGACAAAAUUAUUUUUGCUAAGGAUUUCUCUAUGGACAUAAAAUUCAAAAUGUAUGUUUUUAUAUUCCAAAAUUGGUUUUCUCUACCACCAUUAUUCGUUGCUUAAUGCAUUUUCUUCAUCCAAUUUUGAUAUAAUAUUAUCCUUGCACAUGUCCUUCAAACGUACAACUUAUGGUCUUCAACAUACAUUGGUGGGAAUUGUCAAUAGAUCUCAAGGUGAAGAGAGUAAAAGUAAUUUGCUGAAAGUAUUAUUGGCAUUUGUGCAAUAAAAUGGUUACUAAAUAAAAUCUUUCUGUUAUUUCCAAUUCUUUGGCGUUCAACCCUGCAAAACGGGGUUCUUCCCUAGUUUGUCUAUAUUUGACAAAAAUAAUAUAAAUUAAGCAAAAUGUACCAUAAGUGCGUUGGUUAGAAAUUAGUUUUGAAAAUAAAAUUAACGCUUGAUGAAAUAAAUUUAUGAAAUCUUCACUUUUGAUAUGAAUUAUCAAACACAUUAUUCAUAUUUUUAGCAUGGGGCAAUCUAACAUUAAAAUUUAAUUGAUUAAAAAAAUAAAAAUAUAUGCCAUACACGUAAUUAACAGCAACUAAGGGGUGAAAAACUUAUCUGUAAAAUCUUCAACUCAUCGGAAUCGGAUGUCAUUUCUUCUUUUUUCCAUUCUGUCUGAAAUACAUUUUGAAUUGUUGAAAUUAAUCCUGAUUUGGUUCAUGUUUAACUAGUUUUUAACGCAUUAAAAAUAAAUAAGUGGUUAACAUAUUAUUAGGUGAAUGUGGUUAACCAGGUAGUAACGUAUUUCGGUUUCAGUUCUUUAGUGUAAAGCUUUUUAUUUCAACUUUCAAUGUAGUAGUCUAUAAAUUUUCAAUCUCUGUUUUACUGUCAACAAAGCAUCAUAAUAAAAACUUCCUAAAGUUUUUCGAUGUGUGUGUACCUUUGAUUCUUAACUCAGUUUACAUGUUUGAGUGUAUAGCUUGAUCUCUUACUGUCUGAUUUCCAACAUUUGGUAUUGGAGCAUAUGGUUCAUGCCCAAAUACAUCCGCUACGAAUCCAUGUCGUCAUUCAGCCAACUUGUUAUAAGAGAUAAUGGUGGAGUGCCAUUUCAAUGUCUGAUCUUGAUUCCCACAAACUACACUACGUGGGCAAUCAAGAUGGAUGCCCAGGGAAUAUGGGAAUCCAUUGAACCAACAGAGGGAGCAGUUUUGGACAAGAAAAAGAACAAGUCGGCUCGGGCUUUUCUUUUCCAAGCAAUAUCAGAAGACAUCUUGUUAUAGGUGGCAAAGACGAAGACAGCAAAGGAGGUGUGGGAUUCUUUAAAAACGAGGUAUCUUGGUGCUGAUCGAAUACAAAAGGCAAUAUUAUAUACUCUUAAAAGCGAGUUCGAGCCAUCGCAAAUGAAUGACGCAGAGUCUAUAGACGAGUUCACAUGUAAAUUGAGUGGUAUGAUCUUAAAGUACAUCAGCCUUGGCACUACCCUUGAAGAUGAAGUAUUAGUUAGAAAGCUUCUCGACUCGGUACCGGAUAAGUAUCUCCAACUGGUUGCAUCUAUCGAACAGUACUCGGACAUCGAUACUAUGUCGUUUGAAGAAGCCAUUUGUAGACUCAAGGCAUAUGAGAAUCGCAUUCGACUCCGGAGUGGGAUUCCAAGCACAGAGGGAAGUCUUCUUCUUUCUAGAACUGAUGGUCAAGCUGUUCAGAAAACUUCAGGUGGAAGUUCAUCGAAUGGGAGAGCUCGUGGUUCAGCGUCCCAUGACAGAGGUGGACGGAAUGGUGGACGUGGAAAAGGAAGUACCAGGGAUAGGGGAGGACGUGGAGGUUCGGGAUGGCAGAAAAUACAGGGAACAACUAUAAGAGGAGUAUAGAUAAGAAGCCUAUAAAAUGCUUCAACUGUGAAGAAUAUGGCCAUUACGCAUUUGAAUGUAAAGCACCAAAGAAGAAUGGAGAUAAAGCUAACUUAGCUCACUUAGAGGAACAUGCCUUACUUCUAACUAUAUAUAGAGAAGAAAACGAUAACAUGGUGUUGUUAAACGAAGAGAAUGUGUUUCCGAGAAAAAAACGAGGCAAAGAAUGAGAAGGGCGAAGAUAUAUGGUAUUUAGAUAAUGGGGCAAGCAACCAUAUGAUAGGAGUUCAUGAGUUUUUUUCCAAUCUUAAUGAAAACAUUACCAGGCAGGUACAGUUUGGUGAUGGGUCUAGAGUUCAAAUAUCGGGAAAGGGUUCGAUUUUGUUGCAAUGCAAAAAUGGCGAACAAAAAUUGACCACUAAUGUGUAUUUCAUCCCAACAUUAUGUAGCAACAUCUUAAAUCUGGGACAAUUGACUGAAAUUGGGUAUAAAAUCGAAAUGUUGCAUGAGUACUUGAGAGUACACGUUGAAGGCGAUCAUUUAAUUAUGAAGGUGCUAAGAUCAAAGAGCUGGCUGUAUAAGAUAGUGCUUCAAACCUCCAAACAUGUGAGUCUCUUAGCAAGUCUUGAUGACAUUGAAUAGUUGUGGCAUGCCAGACUAGGCCACAUAAAAUUUCAAAUUAUAGAAUCCAUGGUACGGAAAAACCUAGUGUGGGGUGUUCCACGCAUAAGGCAUCCUGCACAAGUAUGUGAAGGGUGUCUAGUGGCUAAACAAACUCGUCAGACAUUCCCGAAGGAAGCAUAAUGGUGAGCAGGUAAGCCUCUUGAACUAGUCUAUGUCGAUAUGUGUGGCCCAAUCAUUCCAUCAACAAUCGCAUGUAAUCGUUACUUCAUGCUAUUAGUUGACGAUUACAACCGUUAUAUGUUGGUUUUUGUUAAAAAGUAAUAUUAUAUGCAAACUUAUCAUUUGAGAUAUUUGGUUGUUUGGGUAUAUUUUGUUGUUUAUUAUUUUUUCUAGGGGUAUUGUGGUAUAUCUUGUAAAUGCAGGUGAGGGUUUAUGCGCGAGUUUCUAAACCCGAACCUGUUUCUAAUGUGCCACAGGUAUUUAAUGUUGAGAUGCAGUUCAUUUGGAUAUAGAUUAAGUUGUACUCUAGUUGUAUUCUCCCCAGAUUAGGGUUUCAUAUUAGGGUUUCAGUUCAGGUUGAUUCAGAGCUUUGAUCUUAUUAACUUGUUAUCAAGUGUUCAUCUGAGAGUGAGGGUGAUUGUAGUGAGUUUUCUUUUGUAUUUGUUUGAUGUAAACCAACUGAUUCAUAGUGAAUGAAAUGUUGAUGUUAGGAAAAUAUUGAGUUUACACUUUCAUACAUGGUAUCAGAGUUGUAGGCUCCGUCGUCUUCUUCGUUGGUGUUCUUCGGUAGUCUUAUCUUCAGACGAUGUCAUAAAAGGUUGUUUCUAACACUUUUUGUGUUUUUUCGUCUUUACGAGUUUACGUCGAUCUAAAGGUUUUAUAAAUAUUUUAGAUCUUUCAUUAAAACUAUUUUGUUUUAGUUGAUUGUUUGUUUAAGAUCCUGGUACUGAGAGGUUUUUUUUGUGAUCUCUUGCAAGAUCGCUUCAUCUAUUGGAUGUGUUGAUCGCUUGCUUCUUGAACUUCGGUCGAUUAAUCUGUUUGUCUAAAAUAACUCUCUAAGGGUCGGAUUUCAUCACCGAUAAACCCUAAGUAGAGAACGGGCAAAUAGAGUCGAUCCUUCGUUGCUUCGUCUUAAUAGCACUGUGAGGGGUUUCUUCCUUCGUGGCUUCGUCUUAAUAGCACUGUGAGGGGUCUCUUGUUCUUUUUUCCCUUUAAUGUGUUCCACAUAUCUUGUGAUUGGGAGUUUCUGUUGUCUUGUACACCAUUUAUUAUUGUUUGUUCUUGAUCUUGUUUUUUUUAACUCUGUAUUGAUUGUCUUGGGCCCCAACAAACAUGGUGACCAUCUGGACUUUAAGUCAAUACAUGAGUUUGUUUCCGUUUUUUGUUUGUUUGAAUUUUUCCUUGUUUGACUAGUUGAUUCUUUGUGAUUUGCUUGAUGUUAUUCUUUGUGAGCCUUGUCUGUGACUUGUUGUUCUUUCCUGUGUUAUGGCUGGUCCUACUAAUCCUCCAGGAGGAAGUGGAAAGGAUGAAUCAAUUAAUUUUGAUGAUCCUCUCUAUGUCCAUCCUUCUGAUAAUGCUACUACAACCAUUGUUACUGUGAAACUAACUGGUAAUGAAAAUUUUCGUAUUUGGAGGAGUUCUAUGUCUAGGGCUCUUAAAGCUAGAAACAAACUAGGGUUUGUUGAUGGCACUUUUAGAAAGAAUAAUGUUGAAACUAAUAAAGAAUCAAAAUGGGAAAGGGCUAAUGUAGUUGUGUGUUCUUGGUUGUUGUCUUCAAUUAGUGAUUCAAUAUAUGCUAGCCAUGCUUAUUCUGAUAAUGCUCAAGAAAUUUGGGAAAAUUUAUUUGAAACUUAUAAUAAAGCUGAUGGAUCUGUAGUUUUUAAUGUUCAUCAAAGAAUCAAUUCUUUAAAACAAAAUGGUUUGUCUAUUUCUGAUUACUUUAAUAAACUAGAUACUUUGUGGAACGAGUUUGAUGGAUUAACAAGUGUUACAGAAUGUACUUGUGAGGCUGCUGUAAAACUAAAUGAUCAUUCUAAACUAAUGAAACUCAUGCAAUUUCUUAGUGGUUUGGAUGACUCUUAUAACCAAGUUAAGAGUCAUAUUUGCUCAUGGAUCCACUUCCUAAUGUUAAAACUAUUUUUUCAAUAAUCUCUCGUGAAGAGUCUCUUCAAAGGAAUGGAUCCCUGUCUAGUGAUUCUCAACCUGGUCCCAAGAGUCAACCUAGUGCCUUUAAUAGUAAGUUCAAUAAUAAAUUUUCUGGUAAUACUGGUAAUAGAAACAAAGGUCCAGUAGUUCAGUGUAAGAAUUGUGGCUUAAAAGGGCAUACUAUUGAAAAAUUUUAUAAACUAAUUGGGUAUCCAAAGGAUUUUAAACCUAGAAGUGAUAUAAAUCAUAAUAGUCAAGGUAAAAAUUUCAAUGCAAAUUCUUCUAUUGUUGCUCCUGGGUCAUCUGAUGCUGGAGAGUCUGAGUUUCAUCAACUUAAACUUAUAUAUUUUCAAAUGCAUGUCUAUAUAUUUAUAGUUAUAUAAGUAAUGUUUAAAGGACUUGGGAACGAUAACUCGCUUUAUUUCCUUUUCCUUGUUUGGAUGUCGCCUGAGAGUAUCGGCUAUUUUUCCGAAUGUCGUUUAAAUUUCAGUUAUAUAUUAUGUAUACAUAUGUAGAUAUUAAAGUACUAUCAAUCAGUUCAGUAUCUUUGGGUAGCAAAGGCAUACCUUCAUUCAUUCAAACAACAGAAAUUACUAGUAAACUAUAAUUGGUAUAGUUUAAGAGAACACUCUCAUAUACAAAUACUAUAACAAAUAAUAUUAUAACAGAGAAUACUAUAACAGAGAAUACUAGACAGAGAAUACUAUACAAAGGAUAAUAUACAGAGAAUACUAUUACUAUAACAAGAUUCAGAGAUAACAUAAUGUGAGAUACUACUUCAUGACAUAUCGACCAUUUCAUUUUGUCACGUUUUGUAACCAAAAUCUCCUGGGAGGAGAGCGUGAGUUUGCGUAUAGAUCUAUACUGGAUUGACUAUCCUACACCUUGUUGUUCGCUACAGUGGGACUUGCAAGUCUACGGGUGCCAAAUGUCAUUUCUUCCGACGUCUUUCAUCGUUGUGUUAUAGUCGGUUUAGUAUGGUAACAAUCAUAUCACAUUUUUCCUUAAUUAAACCAUUGGUUUUAAGGUAGUUAUUACUUCAAUAGUUAAUACAAAUAAUACUGCAGUACAUAUACAUCUUCCCAUUAUAUUCAAAUUGUGAUCUUCUCACAUAAAGGGUAAUAUAAAAGUAUAUUUUGGUAAUAAUAGUCAUACUUGGGAAAAGCUUCCACUGUUACAGAGAAACAAACAUACAAAACAGUCGGGUCUUGGUAGAAGACUACUUUUUUUACUAGUAGAAAAUAUAGGAUUUUCUAGGAGUUUUCAAACAUAUACAAACAUUUACAUUGAACAUUUACAAAACAUUUUCAUCAAACUUAUACAAACAUUGACACUAAAUACUUAUGAACUCACCAGCUUAAAUGUUGAUCUACACUUUCAAAAUAACUUGUAUUCUCAGGUCACCAGUAGACAGGUACCGAUGACCAGGUUUUGAGAAGACGGAGCAUGUUCAAGACUCGUCUUUUAUUUGAAUUAUUCAUUUUUGGUGUCGUAUUACUAGUAAAGAACACACUUGUAUCGAAUUAUACUAUUAAUACAAUGGAUGAUGUUGUUGCUUGUUUACAACUUUGCAUUGUUAUGAUAUUGUGCAUGACGUCCUCCACCCCCCGAACGUUUCCGCCGUUCCGGUUUUGGGGUGUGACAGAUUAGUAUCAAAGCAUUGUUUAUAGUGAAUCGAGUAUAUCAACUCAUAAAAGAUAUACAAACUAUAAACACAAAGGGUUUAAAAUAUUAUGACCAAGAGUUUAUACUUUUAGUACUAAAAUACUUAACUAAAAGUAUACAUAAUUACAUACCUACAUACUUAUUAUAGAACAAUGUCAUAGUAGAACAUAACAAAAGUAUUUAAUUGUAGGACACAACAGUCAAACCUUGGCAGUUAUAUAAUCGUAUAUGGGAUGAAUAUAGUCUGAUCAACUAUAUUUAUUUGAGAUACGGUGAACGUGUGUCGGGAGCGAUUAGGGUGUUGCAACAAACCUAAAACUUACAAAAUUAUACAUAUACAUCUUCAUAUACAGAAGAACAUGAGAACAAAACAUAAAGUAAUAUACUAUAGGAGUGUUUUACGAACUAUUCAUUCAAAGAACAAACUUAUUAGGAUUAGCAGUAAGUUUCUCUCAUAGAAACUUUUUAUUUGUUUAUCGCUUUAUUUUAGAAUUGUUAAAUAAAUUCCUUACCCUUAUUUCUCGUCUAGAUAAAUGGUUGGAUUCCACCUCCCCGGCGACCCUUACUUUCCCAGCCAAGAGAAUGGAGGAGGGCUAAAUGCAGAACCAGAAGCAAAACCUGAACUCCCCUUAGAUGAUGAUAUGGCAGAAGACUUUCCAGAAGAUCUUGAUCCCGAGCCAGAAGUUGAGAAUCUACCCCCAGUGGCUCCAAUCCCAAAUCCUAACCCUUGUCCGACUUUUCAAGGCCCGACACCUUCGUGGGAUGGGUACUUGGAAAGGUGGAGCCAUGAGCAGGGCCAACCCUUACCAUACAACGGAGACCGAAACUUCUACAACGAGAGCAAAGGAGGAUCCGCAGAUUGGAUUCUUCCCAUUUUAGUUCGCAGAGUGGCUCGAAAUGUUGAACUAAAUGUAGCAGCCAUUCAACAAACCAUAGAACUCGAGGCGGACACAAAUUCCAAUGUGGCUUGUUAUCGCAAUAUCGAACUUACUCUUAGGAGAGACAAUGAAACCCUGCUGCAUGCACUAGCUAAAACUCGAGCCGAAUUCAUAGAGCUCCGAGUACGCCAAAGGGUGUACGAAAGACACCUACUUGAUGUGGAGCGCCAGCUGGCUGAACUAAGGGUUCACCCGAGGGAUACCCGUCACCAGUAAUAGAUUACUCUACCUUUUUUUCUUUGGUAUAAGGAAUCGUCUUCCUAUAUAUGCUCCAAGUAGCACUUUACUAUGUAACUGUCCUUGUACUGUAAUUACUUUUCGUUAGGCCUUUGUCUGUCAAAACUUUUCUACUUCGGAUAUGACGUAGACCUACUUCAAGGUCAAAUUUUCCCGAACUUAUUACACCUUAAAUAUCAAUGAUAUGGACAGAUGACUAAUUCCUGUGACAAUCCUUGUUCAAAUACUUUCAUUCUAAUAUCGUUAGAAUUCUAUCAAAAUCUCACUCUCAUCAAAUUAUUGAGCUAUGGUAAUUUAGCUCAAGGAUCACUUUCAAUUCUUGUCGAAGGUUGGAUCAUGUUAUCCACCAACCAACGAUAGCCUAGUUCGGAAUAACAAUCGUCUAGUGACCAUUCUAUGAACUUACUUCAACACUUUACCAGUACUGUAUCAUAGAGAUGUAGGUCAAACCACCGAGAACAGUUUAACAAAACGCAAAAUUUACAUUUACAUGAAUGAGUAGAAUACAUCUAGGCCGACCAUAAUCACUCACGAACUCAUUUUCUUAUCGUAUAACAGAAUCAUGUUGUCAUCCAUAAAUAGUUAGCCAAACGACGAAACCCCGAUCCUUCAUAUAGACGCAGCUACCUUCCAAGUCGCGGUAACAGCUGCCGUGACAGCUGUCCUAGCACAAUUCCACGCUGGUAAUGCAAACAAAGAUGGAAAAGGUGUUGACAGUUUAAAUUUUUGUAACAACCCGGGAAAUUCACAAAUGACAGUAGUCACAAACCCCCAAGUCCACAAAUCUGAGUAUAGGAAAAGAAAGCGUCAAGCCAAAAAUGAGCACAAGCGAUCUCAAAGACUCGCCAUGCAACAUCAAUAAAUGGCGACCCUUGCCACUUCAGCACCAAUCAAACAAUAUGAGGGAACACUCCCAAAGUGUGACAAGUGUAACUUUCAUCAUAACGGAGUUUGCCGUGAAUUGCAAUGCAGCAAUUGCAACAGAAUGGGGCACACUGCUCAUGUUUGUAGAAUGCCAGCACGAACCAUGUUCCAAACCACUAGCAUCGGAGUCAGCCCAUCUUGCUAUGGUUGUGGUGAAAUUGGACACUAUAAAAGGAAUUGUCCAAAAAGGAGGAACAACGAAAACGCUCGUGUCCACAUAACUUCCACCACCGAUGCUGGUGCAAGCCAGAUAUGUCAUAUAUGCAGUGAGAUAGGACAUCUCAAGAAGGAAUGUCCAAUAACAAAGAACUCUGGCGCAGACGGGAAAUUACUAUGGAUCACCGCCGCAUGAGAGACUACUCCGGACCCACGUUGAAAUACUAGUAUGUUCCGUAGCGAAAGUUAUACUUAUAAACUGUUAAAAAAUAGUGCAACUUGAAUCAUAUCAUUUUGUGAGAUCCCAUCAGUUCAAGGGACUCUCGUGCUGCAUAUACUUGCUUUUUGCAGUAUACCUUGUUUGCAGCAGUAGUUUCAUAGAUAAAACUAAUGUACUGAAACUCUGACAUAAGUUGCACCGUUGUGUUUUUGUAACACCCUUCUGAACUAGUCUAACGCCAGUUAUUCCGAGUAGUCCGAAAUUAUCAUUUGACUUGAGUCAAUUCGAUCCUCAUAGUGCCAGUUUCAUGCAAAAAUUUUGUUCUCGGUAAUUGACUUUUUAACAGAACCGUCGCUCCAGAACUCCUAGGUACUCAUGUGUGGAGUGCCUUACGUUUCGUAUCCUUCCCAAAGAAACCUCAGCAAACCUCCACGGAAUACCACUCGUACGGUACAUCAAGUUCAAUCUGAAGACCCAUACGGUUAAUCUAUCGCUGAGGAAUGUAUACGUAAGGGUGGUAUAUAAUCAAGGUUCUACAUGCUUAGAAUUGAUGAUUCCGCAUUAUCUUCUUUUCCUUGUUUGGAUGUGAACUUAGAGAAGAAUCGUUUAUUCGACUGUCUUUUCAGUCUUAAUUAUAUACGACUCGUAUACACGAGGAUGUGAUUGAUGAACCAAAUAUGAGUUCUAAUAUGAACUUCAGGACAGAGACUGCUCAAGACUACGAGUGAUCGUGUUGUCAUACGAAUAAACUUAGAAGCCAAACAAAUGCCUUUCCUGCCCAUCAGGACAAGAGAUGUAGAUAGAACAGAAGUACCUAUCCUUUUCCUUAAUUCAUGAGUAAUCAUACUUUCUUUUCGAUCUUCACGACGUCAUAAUCAGUAUGAAUUGGUUGAGUCUACAUCGAGCCGACAUCAUGUGCUUUGUGAAAGCAGUUCUCCUUAACCUCCCUAACAACAAAAUUCUAGUUAUUUACAGCGAGAAAUCAAGUACGAACCUUCGCAUCAUUUCAUGUAGUUAAGCUCAGAAGCGCUUACAAAAGGAAUACCAUGUAUUCCUUGCACAAAUCACCAGUUACGAGUGCUAGAGGAGGAUGUCCCCAAGACGACCUUUUGAACUUGUUUUGGACACUACGAGUUAGUAGUGACGCCGUUCGGAUUAACCAACGCACCAGCUGUAUUCAUGAAUCUAAUGAAUAGGGUGUGUCGUCCUUACUUGGAUCAGUUCGUCAUUGCUUUCAUCAAUGACAUACUUAUCUACUCUCGUAGUAAGGGGAGCAUAGCUAACACCUACGAAGGGUCUUAGAAACAUUAAGAUCGAAGAAGCUUUAUGCGAAGUUCUCUAAGUGCGAGUUUGGAUUCGAAGGGUCGAAUUCUUUGGGCCACGUUGUUAGUGAGAAGGAAAAUUUAUGUGGACCCUCCAAGAAUCAAGGCCAUUGAGAACUGGUCAGCUCCGCAGACACCUAAAGAAAUUCAUCAAUUUCUCGGUCUCAAUGGCUACUAUUGUAGGUUCAUAUAGAACUUCGCUAGCAUCGCGAAACCGCUUACUACAUUGACCGAGAAAGGCGUGGCCUUUGACUGGGAAGAGAAACAAGAGAAGGUGUUCCAAACACUGAAACAAGCCUUGUGCACCGCACCGAUAUUAUCCCACCCAUAAGAGAUAGAAGAUUUUGUUGUGUAUUACGAUGCAUCCAACCAAGGGCUUGGUUGCGUGCUUAUGCAAAGAGGAAAGGUCAUUGCCUAUGCCUCUCGUCAACUUAAGACACUCGAAGCCAACUAUGCAACACACGAUCUUGAGUUAGAGGCAGUGGUAUUUGCUCUGAAGAUCUGGAGACACUACUUGUAUGGUACAAAGAGUACUAUAUUCACAGACCACAAAAACAUUCAACACACAUUCAACCAGGAAGAAGUAUCAUCCCAGUGAAAUCAAACAAAAGAAAAAAAGUUGUAUCCCGAUGGUGAAAGGUUAGCUGGAAUGCCAAGCGAGGAACUGAAUUCACUUGGGAGCACGAGAAACAAAUGAAUCAGAAAUAUCCUCAUCCGUUCGCAUAGUCUUCAAUUCUUGCUUAAACUCUAAUUUCGGGAAGAAAUUCUCUCUAAAGGGGGGAUGAUGUGACAACCCGAAAUUUCUAUCUUGUGCAACCAUUCAAUUCAAUCAAAGUCAGACUUGUUUCUGUUAUCUAUUAGCACUGUUUAGAGUCUGUUUAAGUGUUCUAAGCAUAGUACAUUCAAGAAUCGGGUGUUAGGAAGUAUCUGCUUGAGCCGCAAGUGUAAUAAGCAAGUUUUAACUACAUAAUUUGGAGUUUACGACCACUCCAACAUGAGUUUACGGCCGUAAACUCAUGUGGGUCGUAAACUCAUGGCUAUAUAAUAGAGUCUUGGCCAUUUUCAACUCUUUUAAUACUUUCAACUCUAGAACUUAAUUUAUCUCUCAAGUAUCAUCUGAUUUCCAUUUUGAUCUUCCAAAUUUGUAAGAAUCCUUUCCUUUGAAUUGUUGUAACAUCUCUUUAUCUAGUAUGAAUCAUUGAUUUCAUCCAAGAAAUCACUUCAUUUUGAUAGAUCUUCAAGUCUUCUUCAUUUCACCAAGAACACCAAGAACACACACUAGUGUUCUUGGACCUUAUUCACCCUUACAAGCUCCUAAUACGUAAGUACACUACCCUUAGCUUGUUAUAUGCUUGAAUCACUUAGGUGCUGUUUGUUUUUUUUAAAAAAAAACCACUUCAGACCACUUAUUUUUGUGUCGUGCAGCACACGCGCAACAAUUGGCCUUUCGCAGCUGUUUGUUUUCCUGAAGACUUCUGACAUAAAAACUGUUGCGCGUGUGCUGCGUGGCGCAACACUAAACCAACUGCUUCAAACCUCUUCGUGCCUUACUUUAACUUACUGCAGCAGUCUGUAGACAUUAAAAACAAACAGAAUUUUUAUUAAAUGUUGCAUCCUUUUGUUCCACCUCUUCUGCUACAGAGGAUUGCAGAGGUGGUCUGCAAACUUAAGACAUUUUCGCUUCUAAAAAACAAAUAGCACCUUAGUUUACACCUUGAAAUCAUCAAGAAAUCAAGAACAAAAGGCGUUUACGGCCAAGACAAUCUCCUUUGGCCGUAAACCCAAAUUAAGGGUGCAAAUGAGCCCUAAUCUCCUCCUAAGCCUUGGACUUGAGUCUAGAACACUUCAUUGUAACUUAUAAGACUUAAAAACACAAAAUGAUACAAGAUACCAUGAUUUUACAGCCGUAAACUCUUUGGGUCGUAAACUCAUGGUCGUGAACUCCCUUGAUCAUGCCAUCUUGGCCGUAAACUCCUAAGUGAGGCCAUACAUCCCUUACAUUCAAACCUAUGUGGUUUAACACAUCAUUGCAAGUGUUACCUAGUACCUAAGGUUGUUGAAUUUCAUGAUUAGAUGUUAUAAACACUAAUUAGAUACAUAUAUGUAUCAUUAUAUGAUAACUAGGAUCCGUGUGUGUGCUCAAGUCUUCAGUUGACACAUAGCAUCCUUUAUCGAUCUUACGUUCGAGUUACUCACUACAAGUGAGUUCAUACCCCUUAACUUAUCUUUUAAAUGAUUUUUAAUGCUUUUAUGGGGGGUAAUACAAGUGGAAAACAUGUUAGUUAUAUAAUCAAUCACAUGUAAUUUAUAACUACAUUUCAAACAAAGGAUUUUAUAUACUUCAAACUGGGUUUCAAACAAAGGAUUUCUUAUACUUUAAAAAUGUAUUAUCAAUCAAACUGCUUUUAAAUUGUAUUAUAAAUUGACAUCAAGUCAUCAAUAUUUAUUAUUAAAGUCUUCAAAUGUUUUACAAAACUUCUUUUUUUAAACUUAUAUAUUGUCAAAUGCGUGUCUAUAUAUGUAUAGUUAUAUAAGUAAUGUUUAAAGGACUUAGGACUGAUAACUCGCUUUAUUUCCUUUUCCUUGUUUGGAUGUAGCCUGAGAGUAUCAGUUAUUUGUCCGAAUGUCGUUUAAAUAUCAGUUAUAUAUUAUGUAUGCAUAUGUAGAUAUAAAAGUACUAUCAAUCAGUUCAGUACUUUUGGGUAGCAAAGGCAUACCUUCAUUCAUUCAAACUACAUAAAUUACUAGUAAAUUAUAAUAGGUAUAGUUUAGGAGAAUAAUAUCAUAUACAAAUACUAUUACAUAAAAUACUAUAACAUAGAAUACUAUAACAGAGAAUACUAGACAGAGAAUACUAUACAAAGGAUACUAUAUAGAGAAUACUAUACAUAGAAUACUAUUACUAUAACAAGUAUACUAUAACAAGAUUCAGAGAUAACAUAAUGUGAGAUACUGCUUCAUGACAUAUCGAACAUUUCGUUUUGUCACGUUUUGUAACCAGAAUCUCCUGGGAGGAGAGCGUGAGUUUGCGUAUAGAUCUAUACUUUGUUAAACUUUGUUUAUAAGUCUUUUCAUAGCUUUGCUAAACUUUGUGUUUUUGGUUAUCUUUGUUUUGCAACAAAACUGAAUAAUUUUGACAAAUUUUCUGAACGUGCUAAAAAUUGUGUUUUACUUGGUUAUUCUUUGGAACAAAAAGGUUAUAAAGUUUUGAGUCUUGAUUCAAAUUUUGUCUUUGUUUCCAGGGAUGUCAAAUUUUAUGAGUCUGUAUUUCCGUUCAAGCUUAAACCUUUAAUUGGUGAUAAAACUAAUACUUUGGUUAAUCCAAGUGACCCAUUUUCCUAUGAUGAGCUAGUUUUGUCUAGUUCUCUUCAAGAAAACAUUAGUUUAGGUGACUUAGGAGUAACCCUUCAGUCUGUAAGUACUGGAGCAGUUCAUAAUAUGGCUGAGACCUCUAAUGAUGUGGUCAAAAACCAGGGUGACGAGGCAGGUAUGCCACAGGUUGUAGUGGAUGUUCCUAGUUUAUCUACUAUGGCUGAGGAAAAUAUUUUAGAACAUAAUAGUCCUUCUGAUGAUCACUUAUUAGGGGUCACUCGGUCUGGUAGAAAUGUUUGUUUGCCAACAAGGUUUAAUGACUUUGUUGUAGAAAGUUCUCACAAGUAUGGUUUAGAAAAAUCAGUGAAUUAUUCUUUGUUACCUAAUGAUAGUAAAUGCUUUGUGUCAAAUCUUAAUAAAACCUUUGAACCAAGUACUUAUUCAGAAGCUUCCACUGAUCCAAAGUGGAUCAAAGCUAUGAAUGAGGAAAUGGAAGCCUUAUAUAGAAAUCAUACUUGGGAUAUUGUUGAUCUUCCUAAGGAUAGAAAACCUAUUGGUUGUUAUUGGAUUUAUAAAAUUAAGUACAAAUCAAAUGGUGAGGUUGAGAGAUAUAAAUCUAGACUAGUUGCUAAAGGUUAUAAUCAAAGGGAAGGAAUAGAUUAUGAAGAAACUUUUUCUCCUGUUGCUAAGAUUGUUACUGUAAGAGUUUUCAUAUGUGUAGCUGUUAAUAAUUAUUGGCCUCUCUAUCAAUUAGAUGUUAAUAAUGCAUUUUUAUAUGGUGACUUAGUUGAAGAUGUUUAUAUGACCUUGCCAGAAGGGUAUCACACUAAAAAUGAUAGUAGAGUGUGUAAACUUGUUAAGUCCUUGUAUGGUUUGAAGCAGGCUCCACGAAAUUGGAAUGAAAAGUUGUGUUCUUCUCUUUUAGUUUUUGGUUUUGUUCAAAGUAUAAGUGAUUACUCUUUGUUUGUUAGAUCAAAAAAUAAUACCAUUGUUAUUUUGCUAGUUUAUGUAGAUGAUAUAAUUCUGACUGGUAAUAGCAAUGUGGAAAUUGAAAAUGUUAAAUUGUUUCUUAAAUCACAAUUUAGGAUUAAAGAUUUAGGUCUAUUGAAGUAUUUUUUGGGAAUUGAAAUAUUACCCACAGAUAAUGGUGUUUGUUUGAAUCAAAGGAAAUAUUGUUUAGAGUUAUUACAUGAGUUUGGUAUGCUGGGCUGUAAACCUGUUAAAAUACAUUUGGAAGUUAAUGUUGUGUUUAAUAGAGAUUGUGAUGAUAAUUCAAAUCUUGUGAGUAAUAUAACUGAAUUUCAAAAACUCAUAGGAAACUGAUUUAUCUCACAGUUACUAGACCCGAUAUUAGUUAAGCAGUUCAAGUAUUAAGUCAAUUUAUGCAUAAGCCCAGGAAGUCACAUCUAAAUGUUGCUUUCAGAUUGUUAAGAUAUUUAAAAGAAUGUCCUGGAAAAGGUAUUGUGUUUUCUAUGUCUAAUGUUUUUGGUGUUGUGGAUCUUAAAAUUUUUAAAUGAUCUUGGAUAUAAAUAUUUAACUCCUGUUAAAUUGUUUUGUGAUAAUGAAUCUGCUAUUAAGUUAGCAUUAAAUAUAGUUUUUCAUAAGAAGACAAAACAUUUUGAAAUAGAUGUUCAUUUUGUGAGAGAAAAAAUUGAAAGUGGAGUUUUAAAAUUAGUGAAAGUUGAUACUUCUAAUCAAAAUGCAGAUAUUUUAACUAAGUCCUUGACUUCAUUUCAACAUGAGUACUUGUCUAAAAGACUUGGACUUUUAAAUUUGUUUUCUGGAAAAUAAGUUUUUCAAAUGAUAAGUUUGAGAGCGGGUGUUAAAACGUAAUAUUAUAUGCAAACUUAUCAUUUGAGAUAUUUGGUUGUUUGGGUAUAUUUUGUUGUUUAUUAUUUUUUCUAGGGGUAUUGUGGUAUAUCUUGUAAAUGCAGGUGAGGAUUUAUGUGUGGGUUUCUAAACCCGGACUUGUUUCUAAUGUGCCCCGGGUAUUUAAUGUUGAGAUGCAGUUCAUUUGGAUAUAGAUUAAGCUACACUCGAGUUGUAUUCUCUCCAGAUUAGGGUUUCAUAUUAGGGUUUCAGUUCAGGUUGAUUUAGAGCUUUGAUCUUGUAUUAACUUGUUAUCAAGUGUUCAUCUGAGAGUGAGGGUGAUUGUAGUGAGUUUUCUUUUGUAUUUCUUUGAUGUAAACCAACUGUUUCAUAGUGAAUGAAAUGUUGAUGUUGGGAAAAUAUUGAGUUUAUACUUUCGUACAGUUUUCAUGAUAAAGACGAAGGAUGAAGCCUUUGUAACCUUCAAAAGUUUUAAGACACAGGCAAGGUUUAAAAGUACGGAAUCACGCCUUGAGGCGUUUUCCCUCCGCCUCAUGAGGCGUAAGCCUCAAGGCGGAGUGAGGCGUAAACCCGAGGCGGAAUACAAUAUAUAUAAAAUUAUAUAUUUAUAUAAAAAAUAAGAUACUAAACAUGUCCUUUUAAGCUAAUUUCACCAUCAAAUCCAUUAGUUAUAAAAAACACAUUCAAAAACAUAAAAUAAGUCUAGAACAUCAAAGUCUUAAACUCCAAAACAACAGCCACUUAGGAAACACACACAAAAAAACACAAGUUAGUGAAAAGUUCAAAUAAAAUAAUCAGCAUCAUUCGCAUCAUUUUCAAACCGGUCACCCUCGUCAUCGUCAAUCAAAUUCACUUCAUCCCCGUCAUCCUCGUCAAUCAAAUUCACUUGAACAUUUUUCCUUUUCCUAGUUCCACUCCCUUCCCCAAUUGUCCCGCCACCUCUAGGUCUUCCAAUAGCCCUGCCCGCUCUAGCACUUCCAAUUACCCCACCAUCUUCCUCCCCUAAUAUCCCGCCACCUCCAAUGUCAUCUUCCUCACCAUAACUUGGGGCGGCUAUCCACUCAUCAUCUGCCAAUACAUAAUCAACAACUAAGGGGUCAUCUUCUUUUAAUUUAGUCCUCUUAAUGAACUUUUGCUUCAACUUUUUAUUGUACAUGAUGUAAACCAAGUUGUUCAUUCUUUCGGUGUUUAACCGGUUGCGUCUCUUGGUAUGGACUUGAUUGAACGUACUCCAAUUACGUUCACAAGCCGAAGAAUAAGAAAAUUAACCUUGAAUAUGAGCAGACCUCCAGAAGAAGUGCAGAACCGAUUCAACUGAAGAAGUGCAGGUGAGAUGCGAUUUUGAGAUGAAGAGAUGAGCGGCGAUUUAGAUUGAGCGAAUGAGGUGAUUAGGUCAAUAAAUGAAAUGGGUUUUCAGUUUUAUUAUAAAACCGGUCAAUAAAACAAAGGUAAAAAGGAAGUCGACGUAAAAAAGUCAAAAUAGUCAAAGAAAAAUUGAAGGCGUACGCAUCUGGAAAACGUUCCGCCUCAAUCGAUUCCUAUGCGCUUCACUGGUAUGAGGCGUGCGUAUCAAAUCUUACCAUUGAGGCGGCGCCUCUAGUUCGAUCAACCUCCGAUUCGCCUCAAGGCGCGCCUUAGGGCGUGCGUUUCUCAUGUUUUUUUAAACGAUGCGUAUGUAUAACCCUAAAGAAAAUAGAGUUGUGGUGACACUUGAUGUUGUUUUUAAAAGAGAAAAGAAAGUGGGAUUGGUUCAUGGCCCGAGGCGAUGAGCCAACAUCAGACCGGUCUUGGUUUCAAACAUUUAUUAAUAAUGAAUAUGGAAGAGAAGCCCACCAGCAAACUAUAGGCGGCCAUGUUGAAAACCCUACCCAUCAAGACAACGAUGACUGCUCCACCAUCACCACCAUUCACAUCACCAAUACAUCAAAUGAAAACUAUUGGUUUUCGAAAUUUGUUUGAAAUCUAUGACGAGGCAGAGCCAAUAGAACUUGAACCAGAAGAGUUAUUGUUUUUUGGUGAAGAACCAACGAGUUACUCAGAGGUAGCAAACGAUCAGGCCUGGCGGGAAGCAAUGAAGAAGGAACUUGAUUCAAUUGUUAAGAAUCAAACGUUGUACCUUGAGUAAUCGAUGCAAUCUGACUUUGUAGUUGAUAUUUCAGCGGACCAUUGCUUUCUCCAAAGUGUUCUUCCAAUUCCAACUAUAAUUCUCUUGCAACAGUUGCAAAUAUGAAUGAUCCAGCAAUUUCUUUUGAAAUUGAAUUAAAUAUCCAAGAACAUACCAUGCAAUCAGUUCCAAUCCAUUCAUCUAACUCAUUUUCUUUAGAUUCGGGUUGUUUUGUUGUACUAUCAACAUAGCCGAUCUUCUUUUUUGCUCCUAACGCCAGACAAAAUUGAGAAUUUCCAUUGAAUCCAGUUUUCGUUACCAGUAAGAAAUGUAGAAACCAAAAACAUGCUUGGAGAAUCUUGUCCUUUAGGGAUAAGUGUAGAAUUGAGUGAAUUAAUCUUUGAAUUGAUAUCCAUAACUGGAUCAAUCUUCAUCUUUUAUAAUAGAAAUUAAUUUGGAUUAAAGAAAAACAGAUUGUAACUUGCUCUGAUACCAUUAUAACAUACAGAGAAAAUAUGAAGAAGAAGAUGAAUAGUGAAAUGAGAAUCUUACUCUGUUAUUACUCUUCAGCUUCUAUUUAUAUUACAGAGUACAUUAAUAUAUGGCUAUUACUAAUCAGCUAACUAAUGAAGUAACUAAUUAACUGAUCUAACAAACUUGAAUAAUUACACACGUGUUUGAAUCUUUAUAAAUGUCCAAGUGAAAAUUGAUGUGAAGUAAUCUGUUAAUCUUACAAGAGGGUUUGUUGGGUGAUUUUCUAAUCGUUCAUGUUAGUUACUAGAAAAAAAAUCCAAGCAAAUUUAUGAUUAUGUGAAAAAAAUAAAUUAUGGUUUCCAAACCCCAUAUAAAAUAGUAUGCAUAUUCCCUUUAUAAAAACUACUAAUUCAUUUGGGUUUGGAAUAAAACGAUCAAAUGCCACAUUACAAUAGACAACUUUCUUGAUAAAAUGAUUUAUAUUCCUACGAUUGCAAUUGAUAUGCACAAAUAAAAAUUAAGGAAAUUAUAAUUGAAACACGUCUCGAAAAUCAUUAGGAUGAGAAAUCCAUUGCUCAAGAAGAUUCCUACAAAUCACUUUAAGUCGAUCAUCUAUUCGCAAUCCUACUUGAGCAGCUAACCAGUCCAAAUAUUCCAACUGUAAAAACCAUCAAUUUCAAAGUUUAAUAAGUAGUUAGUUUAACAAUCAAAGUCAUAAUAAGAAUGAACAAAAUCCAAUCAAUAUAUUACUUGAAAGAGAAAAUUACUGAGAAUAGCAUAUUUUUUCUAUGCAGUAUUCAAGAAUUGAGAUGAUUACCUUAAAACCUAGUGAAUGAGUGUAGCGCUUUGGGUUCCCAUUUUCCUCCAUUUCUCGAUAAUGUUUGUGAACAUCGGCUAACAUCUCGUCUUCCGAUGGUAACGAUAUUUUCCCGGACAAUGCAAGUGCUACCCACUUUGAUUGUAGCUCAAACAUUUGAAAAUGAACACCUUGAUCUUCAUAAUGAUAUUAAAUGAGUGUUUGUUACUCAAUACAGAAAGAAUAACUUAAUAAAGAAAGUCGGAGAAAUAAGUCUUUUAAAUCCUAUGUUGUUAAAACUCGCCCUUGUUUAUUUCCCAAAAUAUGGCGUCGUUUUCUCAAAUAUUUUUAAGCAUCAUUUACCAAACAAGUGAUGUAAAUAGAAAAAGAAAAGAACAUGGUUUAGUUGACGGAUGUACGUACUAUAUGUUAGUCCAACGAAAGCAAGUCUAGGUGCGAGUUGUGGAGGGAACACAUGUUUGUAUAGUGGUCCAACACGAUUGUCAUCCACAUGCACAAUGUUGUUUGUCCUUAGAAAUGGAAAAUGGAAUUUGUACCUAUCAAAUACACCGAAUCAAAUAAGAGUUUUGCGGUUUAUUUUCAUAGAAUUUCGAAAAUAAAAUAUGGAUUCUGAAAAAAAGAAUAAAAAAAAAGGGUUUUGGAUGUAGUUCAUACCCGGUGCAAUGUAAGAUAAUAUCCGCUUCAAUAGAAUCUCCAUCUUGGAAGAAGAUGGUUCCAUCAUCAUAAACACGAUUAAUCUGUUCAAAUGUCAAAAUUUUGUUCAUAAUGGUCUCAUUUGUUACAAAUGACAGAUAGGUUGUACUAUGUCUGCCAUGAGCCGGACUGACACAAUGUCAAGAGGACAAAUAUUGCAUUUUUUUUUGCACAAUCUAAAAAGGUGUAAGAGGGUCUCACUCUCCAUAUCUCAUCCUAAUUAUAAAUACAAGAUAGGUGAUACUGUAUUUGAUGUGUAUUGGACUGGCAGUCUGACGUCUAAAAAAUAGUAGUUUAAACACAGAGAGACUUGGAUGUACCUUUGAAUGUUGCCAUAUAUUUUCAAACACAUCCAACUUUGAGACUUUGACAUUUAAAGAUCUUGACGAAAGAUGAACCUCUUUGGCAAGUGUUGCGAUUUCUCGAGAUAUAUCGAGUGCACUAGGCCCGUUCCCAAUCACUACCACGACCUAUUAUUGUGUAGAAAAUAUUGAUACUAUUGUGUUUAUUAGUUAAAAUGAAACAAAAAAAAUAUGAGAAAGAUGUAUACAAACUUGAUCUCGAUAUGGUUCAGGAACUCGAUAAUUGUGACUAUGAGUUUGUUUUCGUGACCAUUCCUCGAUACCUGUCUCGAUUUAUGCAAACUAAAAUUUAGCUAUACAUUUUUAUGGAAUAAUAGUUUAAAUCUUACGAAAUAUAGCUUGAUGUGCUAAAUUCAGUUUUUUUAAGAAUUUACAAAGGAUGGUUUUAAAUAAAAUACUUAUCACUUCUAUCGCCAUAAUUUUUCUAAAAAUAUAAGAUUUUUGUUCUUUUUUCUUUAUAUUAUUAUGACCAAUAUUUUUAAAUUUAAUUAAUUAACAUGAUACAUUUCAUUUGUUUGUUUUUCUUUUUAACCAUCAACCGUCCCCAUAUGAUCUGGUCCGAUAAAAAAAUAAAAAUUUUAAUGAUUAAAUCAUAAAAGAAACAUAUUCAUUUACUGUUGAAUAUAUAUUUGAUUCAAAAUUUUAUGAAGUAAAUUACUUUAUAUAAAAACAAUAAAAUUAAAAAAAAAAAAAUGAAAGAUUUUAUAGAUGGUUAAACCAAAAAAUUUCGAACUAAAAUGACUUUUACCGAACUUGGCCUUUAAAAUAUAUUACCAAUUUACAAAGAUUAGCAAUAAAGUAUUAUAUAAAGUGGAUUCAACCACAAAAAUGAUGAAAAUUAAUAUAUGAAAAAUAUAUUAUUGAUUUAUAAGCAUUAUAGAUUAUAAAAUUUACACAUAAAAAAAAUAAAAAAAUAAAAAAGAAGAAGAAGAAAACUACUUUCCAGCCAUUAUUAAUAGCAAUUCUAUAAAAAAAAAUUUAAAAAGAGUAUUAAAAAUAUCAUGAAAUGUACUAAAAAGACAAAAUACAUAACAAUAUGAGAUAAUAUAUAUAUAUAUAAUCAAUAACAACAUUUGAAAAAACAAAAAAAAACAGAAAAAAAAAAAAGAAAAAACAUGGUUAAGCAGUCACGUGAGCCGGCCGAUCACUGUAGAAUUACAUUACAUACCAGGAACAUCAUCUGCGAUUCGAGGUUCAGUAUGGUGGCCGCUGCAAACCACCACCGCAUCAAACACCUCCGCCACCGAACCCACCUCCAUCGUCCUCCACUCCACCACAAAGUCACUGUCUAACGACUCGACUCGCACCACCUCCGAGUUAAACCGAAUCACCUCAGUGAUUCCGAACUCGUUAGCAAAAUCCUGCAAAAACUUUAGAACCUCUUCAUGACCGGGGAACAUUCUCGGAUCACCGUAGGAUUUGUCUUCAAAUGAGUAAUAGGAGAAACCCAUGAGUGGCCGAGGGAGAUUUGUUCGGAGGGAUGAGUAGAGACUGCUGUGGACAACGGAUCUAUUGGGGUCGAGGUGAAGAACAUCGCCGGCCUCGACUUGGGGUUCGUAAAGCCAGGUUCCACCGAGACGGUUUGAUUUUUCAAAGACGGUGACUCGGUGGUUCUCUCGGAGAAGCUCCCGAGUGGUGAGUAGGCCGGAGGUGCCGGCUCCGAUGACAGCGAUAUUCAGAGAAUGUGUCAUGAUGAUGGGGCGGCGUAAGUUGAGUGGGGAUUGGGUAAGUGAUGGAGUAUGUUUUUUUGGUUCAGCUCGAUUUGGUUUUUGGGAUUUGUCUAAAUUUGACGAAAUGAAUAUUAUAUAAAUCAAAUUGUAUCAGAAUUUUGUUGUGAAGAUUUGUCUAUAUUUGACAAAAAUAAUAUAACUUAAACAAAAU